rnacentral:tRNA from 1 species
CGCGAGGUGGAGCAGUGGUUAGCUCACUGGGCUCAUAACCCAGGGGUCGAGGGUUCAAAUCCCUCCCUCGCAA